AAAGAACAAAGUUUUGUCCAUCUUUGUUCAUCAUAGCUGAAAGUUAGAGAAGAGAAAGGAGAGGAGAAAGCUCUUGAGUAUUCGGUCAUUAGGAGGAGGAAAAUUGAAGGUAAGUUCUUGGUACCUUGCUUCUAUUUUGAGGUUCAUGAGUUCUUCUUGAUUCUACCUUAACUCUUGAAGCAUAUUUUAGUUUUUAGUUGUGUUGUGAACAUUUAGUCAUGAAUUAAAAUGAAGGAAAUGGUUGUUGUUUCAUGUUCUUUUGAUGAAAAAUGGAAGAUAGGUGAAGUUGAGCCAAACAAAUGAGCAUGCAUGUGCCUUAGAUGCUAAGGGGAAAAAAAUCGGCUAACAUGUUGUGCUUUAAAAUGAUGAAAUGGAGAUUAUACUUAAGUAAAAUCAUAGAUAUAUGAUGAUUGAUUGGUGAUAUACAUGUUUAAAUAACAUGCAUGCAAGGUAUGUGUGAAAGAGUGAUUUGGUAAUAAAUCUGCUUGGGACAGCAGCAGUAACGUGACUUUGGAAAAUCACCAUAAAUUGUGGGAGAUGAAUUAGAAGCUGAAUAAAUUAUGUAAUUAAAGAUUAUUGAGUCUAGUUUCUAAUGAAAUAAAUAAGAACAUAUUUUGAAUUCUGUACAAUGAGAAAUUUGAUUCGUAAUGAAGAGUGGUCAGAUUAGUCAAACAGUGAAACAUGGGAAACUUUGAGAAAAAUCUGGUAUUGAUUGGCUAAACCAAAAAUUCUGAAAAUUUUAUGGAUAGAAGAUAUAUGAGUCUAUUUUCAGGAAAAAUUAACGGAACUUGAUUUGGAGUUUCGUAGCUCCAGUUAUAAAUAAUUUAGUGACUGUUGCUCAGGAAGACAACUUGCAGUGAAAUUAUGAUUAUGUGGUAAACAUUGACAAAAAUUUGUUAAUGAGUUGCUUAUUGAUUUCUUAUAAGCUUACUAUGAUCCGUAGGUGUGGUUGGCCGAAUAUUGUAAGGGGUUAAUAUGUAGUUUGUAUUUGAAUAGUUAGAUUAACGUGUUAGUAAUCCAAUUGUAGGCGGUUCGUGUGUGGAUCUCGUCAGCAUAUCGUCACAAACAGGUGUGUAACUGACACCCUCUCAUAGACUAGAUUGGCAAAAGCCGAAAAGCCGAAAUGCCAAAAAGUUGGUAUUUUGGGAAUUUGCGAGUGUGCGAAUGCUCGUAAGAUAGUUGGGUUUGUAUAUUUGGUAAUCUAAAGUAAUAAACUGCAGUACGCGCGAUUUCGUACAUUUUGAUAAUUUGGGCUUAAUGGGCCAAAGAUCGGGUUCAUGGGCCAACGGGCCCAAUUCAGUAAGUAUGUGCAGUAAGUGUUCUGAUAGUACGUAAAUAGUUAGGAUAUGCAUGAAAACCCUAAAAGUAGCUAAAUUACUAUAAUACCCCUAUGUAUGGAAAAUUACUGUUAUACCCCUAGGUGCAAAAUUACCGUUAUACCCCUAGGGUUAAUUUUGACUGAAAAGCAUGACGAUCUAAUUCUGUAUGAUGUAUGCCAUGAUUAUAUAUCUGUUGCAUGGGGACAUGGGUUAUAUUAUAGAGGAAGCUUUCUGGUGGCUCUACCACAUAUAUCUGUUAUGGUGGCUCUGCCACGAUUAUCUGUAUCUGGUGACUCUGUCACAUUAUCUGUUCUGGCAGCCAUGCUGCAAAUUCUGUGGUGUGUAGCGGUUGGGUGGGUCGAGUUGUCUCCCCACACGGUGUAAGGUUGGUACGGGGUGUAUACGGUUAGAUAUGGUUGGGUUUCUGCAUAAACAUGUAAUAUCUGUUCUGUUCUGUUAUGGGCCUAUGGGCUUUAUUUUGAAUUCUGUUCUGGGCUAAGGCCAACUUAUUCCAUUUCUGUGGUUUAAGCUGAUAUAGGCUAUGGUUGGGUUAAUUUACACACUGAGUUUCCCCAAACUCACCCCUUUUAUUUUCAUCCACGCAGGUAAUCCCCAACCAUAGUGGGCUUGGAGCUGUGAGGGAAUUCGGAGUGGCCACCUGUUCUGAAAGUUUGAUUUUCUUCUGGUGAACUGGACAUCCAUUUAUUUACGUUUGAAGUUUUGGGUUUUUAAAUGUAAUAAAGCCGCAUAUUUAUUUUUGAUGGUUUUUUUUAUAUGUAUUACUAAGAUAGGUAAUACUUAUUUUAA
rnacentral:lncRNA from 1 species